UUNNNAAAAAAANNNNUUUUUUUUACAACCUCUCUUAAGGGAAGAUGAAAGUCUCACAUAACAUCUUGUGUGUAAAGAUUUUCCGCACUCCCAGGGCGCUUGUAUUUCGCUUUGCGAAUCGAUGCGCACCUAGAGCGUACACGAUGAUACCCGAAAGAUGGUGAACUAUGCCUGGCCAGGACGAAGCCAGGGGAAACCCUGGUGGAGGUCCGCAGCGAUUCUGACGUGCAAAUCGAUCGUCGGAGCUGGGUAUAGGGGCGAAAGACCAAUCGAACCAUCUAGUAGCUGGUUCCCUCUGAAGUUUCCCUCAGGAUAGCUUGCACUCAGUUGAGAAGAGUCUCAUCCGGUAGAGCGAAUGAUUAGAGGCAUUGGGGUCGAAACGACCUCAACCUAUUCUCAAACUCCAAAUAGAUGAGAUCCCCGGCUUUCUUAAAAGUGAAGCCG
rnacentral:rRNA from 1 species